UGGGGAAUAUUGGACAAUGGGGGAAACCCUGAUCCAGCCAUGCCGCGUGUGUGAAGAAGGCCUUCGGGUUGUAAAGCACUUUCAGUAGGGAGGAAAGCCCGGCAGCUAAUAUCUGCCGGGAUUGACGUUACCUACAGAAGCAGCACCGGCUAACUUCGUGCCAGCAGCCGCGGUAAUACGAAGGGUGCAAGCGUUAAUCGGAAUUACUGGGCGUAAAGCGCGCGUAGGCGGUUUGGUUAGUUGGAUGUGAAAGCCCCGGGCUCAACCUGGGAACUGCAUCCAAUACUGCCAAGCUAGAGUACGGUAGAGGGGGGUAGAAUUCCACGUGUAGCGGUGAAAUGCGUAGAGAUGUGGAGGAAUACCAGUGGCGAAGGCGGCCCCCUGGAUCGAUACUGACGCUGAGGUGCGAAAGCGUGGGGAGCAAACAGG
rnacentral:rRNA from 1 species